ensembl:lincRNA
GGUGGCGCAGCUACGGUCUGGGAGGAGCCCACUUGGGCUCCCCCACGUGUGCUGUCCACCACACGAUCCGGAGGACCCCGCCAGCUUCCAGCACCACCGUCCCUCAGCGGACUCUUGUCGUGCUCCUCAGCUCCUCACGCGCUGUCACCUCCGACACGGCCCAGCCUUAGGAGCUGCAGCACACGUGCAGGGGUGGCCGGCGCUGGAGAGGGGAUCCUCGCAGCCCCCCUCGCCCCACCAUUCACGCAGGCUCCCUCCUGUUCACACACCCGACCUCAUCCUUACCAGUAAUGGCAGCCCCUCCACAGUCUCACCCCAGGCAGCUCCCCGCUCCUCCCCUCCGCAGUCCUCCAGCCCACCGGGCCCUGCAGCGCAUCUCUCCGACCUAUCACCUUCACACUGCUCCCUUACGCAGCCCAGACGCCACAGAAAUGCUUGUAACGUCUCCUUUCCAAGGCCCUACUGCUCUCCCUGGCUCUGUCACUUGGCAAAGCUGUGACCCUAGUCAGGGCCAAAUCCCCCUGCUCUGUGCCUGCCCGUGCAGCUGACAACGAGACAGAGACACAGGGUCAUGCCGCCUGGCCUCUGCUUACACACACGGAGAUGAGGUAUGGCUGUGUCGCCCAAGGUAGCGUUGAAUGCCUGGGCUCAGGCAGUCUCCUGCAUCAGCCUCCCGAGUGCUGGGACUGCAGGUGAGCAUCGCCACACGAGGGUGGCCUCCCUUUCAAUUCCUGGCCUUUCGUGCGGCCUGGCCACUGCAUUCCAUGCUCCUAGUUCAUUUACUUUCCGAGUCCUGCUGACACCCGCUUCCCUUCUCUCCUCCAAUCUGCACUUCCCACGACCCUCAGCAGAAGACCUGGUCUGUGGGAAAAUCAAAACUGGCCGAAGGGAAUUUCCAGGGCCCUGCUGCCCAAAGCACCUGUGCUGGAUUACUCUGCUGUCUUCCCUCUCACCUGACCCUUCCAAAGCCAGUCUUUCAGAUCUACCUCGUGGUUCAGCACAGGGAAUUCACAGCCAUACACCAUGCAGCCUAGCGUCCCACGCCGAGUCUGUCUCCUCAGACUUUCUCCUCGGACGUGACCCAGGUAUUUCAGACUCAGCAUGGUGAAGAAUGAAACCCCCAAGCUGCUCCAGCCCAGUCUCCCUCAUCUCAGGUCUCGGCAACUCCACUCUUCCAGUUGCUCAGGGUAAAUAUCAAGGAUUCUUCCUGGACAUUUCUCUCUUCCUUCCUGCUCCAUAUUCAAACCACCAAUGACACUAGGGUCCCUCAAAAUGCAGUGAAGUCCUACCACAUCUCCGUCUCUCUGGAUGCUAUCCCGGCCUGAAACACACUCUGAGGUCACUGGGUUACUUACAGAAGCCUGCUAAAGGUCUCCCUGUGUCCACCAUUGCCCCUACAGCAAAGCAUGUUAAGUGCUUUAUUGCAGUGGUUUCUCCAAACUUAACUUAGAUCACAAUUUUCCUCCACUAAAAGUCUCCCUAUGGCCCUGCAUGCUUCCCAGAGUUAACUCAAAGACCAGUCGCCCAUACCAGCUCACUUUCUGUUUGGACAAUGUUCUCCUCUCCUCUCCUCCUCAGCACCCCCGCCUACCCUUGAGCACACCAGCCAGCUGGCCACUCUCCCACCUCCAGUCCUGUUUUCCAUCCCCCAGCCUGCAACGCCCUUCCCCAAACACCUACUGCCCUGGCUCCCUGGCUCCUUUAAGUCUUUGCUCAGUGUCGCCUGCCCACUGACAUCCAGCAGUCCAGCUCUCCCCAGGAAUCCCUGAGCUCUCUGAAUGCCUUCAUUUUUUCCUACAGUACCCAGCACCUCCAUUACACUGCAGCACUUGCUUAUUUAUUAUGUGUUUAGACACUGUCUCCGCCUGCUCCACAGAGGCAAAAUGUUAUUGUGUUUUGCAACCUAUAGCAACUCCUGGCACAAAGUGCAUAUUCUACCAAGAUUCGGUGAAUAAAAAACACACACAGACCUGCCCUGGUCCCAUUUUCCAAAGCUCCAUUACUGUGGCGAUUCUACUGUUCCCA